GCUCAGAUUGAACGCUGGCGGCAGGCUUAACACAUGCAAGUCGAACGAUGAUUACCUAGCUUGCUAGGUAUGAUUAGUGGCGAACGGGUGAGUAAUGCUUAGGAAUCUGCCUGAUAGUGGGGGACAACUUGGGGAAACCCAAGCUAAUACCGCAUACGUCCUACGGGAGAAAGGGGGCUUUUAGCUCUCGCUAUCAGAUGAGCCUAAGUCGGAUUAGCUAGUUGGUGGGGUAAAGGCCUACCAAGGCGACGAUCUGUAGCUGGUCUUAGAGGAUGAUCAGCCACACUGGGACUGAGACACGGCCCAGACUCCUACGGGAGGCAGCAGUA
rnacentral:rRNA from 1 species